CUCCGGGCUGGCGCUGGAUGCUCGGAGAAGGAGGACGUGGAGGGCAACCGAGCUCUUCAAACCCAGUGGAUUUUCAGGUGUCAAGGAGAUCUGUGAUAAUUCAGUGACCACCAGGGGGCAUCAGGACCUCUGGGUGUCCUAGCCAACCAAGUCCACACUGAAUAAAAAUGAGGCUAAAAACCUUACUUUAUGGAAAGAGAAGAAUCCGUUAUUUCAGGCAGGGGGAGCAACACGACAAACAUGCAGAGCAAGCACCUUGUGAAAUGAGCUCACAGCACUGGCUACAGCAUGAAAUUCAUGAGGAGUGCUUGCAUGGUUUCAUGAAGCAAGUUGACACCUUGGAAAUGUCCACACGCAAGGAACUGAGAGUUCCCUCUGGUCAACUACCAGUGAGAAACUCAGGCCCUCAGUCCAACAGCUUGCAAAGAACAGAAUCCUGCCACCAACCACCUGAACUUGGAAGUGGAUAUUUCCCUAGUUAAGCCUUGAGAUGACUACAUUUCGGUGCAGAUCAAAACAAUUUAGAAAACCUAGAAAAGUUACAAAACGAUUUACUUAAAGGCAUCAGAGAACUUCAGCAGCUACAAAGACUAAAAAGAGUAAGAUUCCAACAAGGGGAUACAUUUAUGGAGGAGAGCUAAGGACCUGAGCGUCCUUGCAGGCAUUUGUUGGUUGUAGAUUUGAGACAAAAGCAGAGAUCCCUAAGUAAACCUGCAUAUAGUGUUGCUACUAGGGGGACAGAGUGGCCAGCAGAGAUUUUGCAGGUCACACAGCACUGGGUUAACAGAAUGGGAGGUUUCAGGGAGCUCAAAUAUGGCUGUUCUCCCCCUCAGUGUAUGUCCUGAGCUCUAAACCUGCACAGAGCUGGAGGUAAAGAACUAAGACCAAAGAUAAAAUGCCUAAUAAAUCAAGGGACUAUAUUGGUUUUGAAUUGGAAGACUAAUUAUUGUAACUACGUCAAUUUUUCCUGAGCUUAUCUAAGGAUUCAACGCAAUUCCAACCAGAAUCCUUAAGGGUAUUUUUUAGGAGAAAUUGAUAAACUGGUUAAAAAAUAAAUAUGGAAAUGCAAAAACAAAAUUUGAAACAGAAGUAUAAAAUUGGAGAAUGUACACUAACAGAUACCAAAACUCAAGAACUAUUAUAAAGCUAUAGUAAUUAAGACAGUGUGUAUUGGUAUAGGAACAGAUAUAUAGGCUAAUGAAAUGAAAUCGAGAGUCCAGAAACAUGCCACCUGUAUAUGGUCACCUGAUUUAUGACAUAGAUGACACUAUAAUGCCAGGGGGCGAAGAUGAUCUUUUCAAUAAAUUAUCUUGUGUCAACUGUAUAUCCAUAGGGGAAAAAACGAAAUCUGGCACUUACCUCACACUUAUAUAAAAGCCAAUUCCUGGUGGAUUAUAGUUAUAAAUAUGAAAAGUAUGGCAAUAAAGUUUUAAAAGAUAAUAUAGAGGGAAAUCAUCUUGACCUUGGGAAAGAGAAACACUUCUUAUAUUAGUUAUAAAAGUGAUAACCAUAGAAAAUAGACUGAGAAAUCAGAUUAAAAUAAAAACUACUGCUUAUCAGAAGGCACCGUUUGAAGAGUAAAAAUGCAAGCUCCCCUGACCCCCACAAAUGGGUGGUAUGAUUUUAAACACGUACAGCUAAGAAAGGGUUUGUAUCCAUACAUUAUAAAGGAAUACUACAAAUCGAUAAGGAAAGGACAAAUCCAUAGAUUUAGUGUCAGGACUCGGCCGUGAAGUCAAAUAAGACUCAACCACAUUAGCCGUCAGUAAGUUAACCCCCCUCUGAGAUACCACUCUUCCCGUGGAAGAAGGGCUAAAGUUUAAGAUAGCAAAAUUGGGUGAGGAUGUGGGACAGUGGGAACUCUCAUACCCUGCUGUUGGGUGUGUAAAUUGGUGCAACCACUUCAGAAAACAUUUUGUCAUGAUACACCAACAUUGGAAAUAUGAGGACUUUUUGAUACAGAAACUCUAGUUGAAGGUUUGUACUAAUUAGAAAUACAUAAAUCUGAGUACUAAAGGAAUUUUAACAAUAAUAACCAUAAGAGCCCCAACUGAAACUACAGAUUAAUGAAAAUGAAUCUCCUGAAUAGAAUGUGGAGCCAAGGAUGCCAGGCACAAAAGAAUGUCAUCUGUAUUGUUGGAUUCAUAAGAGUUCAAAGGCAGAGAAAUCAAAAACUAUUGUGUUAAAAGCAGGAAUAUGGAUCAACAAAAAAAAAAUCCACAGAAUGGGAGAAAAUAUUUGCAAAUGAAGUGACCA